rnacentral:lncRNA from 1 species
UCGUCUAUCGUCUCCCUCACCCCAAACCCUAGAGACAAGCUGCCGCCAUAUACUCACCGCCCCGGGGUGGCGCCGCCGGCUCCUACCCACCUGAAAAUAACACCCCAAGACCCUCUACGUCCCCUCGUCCCCAAUCUGUAGUUAGUUUCCCUCGAAUCACCCUAGUAUUUCUCGAAUCUUCAAUCGAAGCAGUCCGGUCCCAAAAUCCCCGAACCAUAGCUCACCUAAUCGGCCCCAAAUUCACAUCAUAGAACCCCCCACUCCCCUCUUCCCUAAUCCAUAACCAGUUUCCUUCGAAUGGGGCCCAAUCUGCUCGUAUCUUAAAUCUAAGAGCCAAACCUAAACUCAAGACUGAUGAUAAUUUUAGAGCCGAGUUCGUCACAAAAUAGUGUUACUCACUUGUUUUGACAAAGAACAAGUGACUAACAUUAUUUGGCGAUGGAAUCGAAAAGUUAGGGUACCAAGCUUUUCCAGUUUAAUCGAUAAGUUCUUUCAUGUUUCUAUGUUUGUUUGAUUAAUUUUAUUCCAAUGGUCAUUUCCCUCUUCUCAUUUUCUUCGGUCAAUUUCAAUUGAAAUUCGAUCAGUACUCUGGUAUAAAUUAUUUCUGUUCAUUGUUUGUUUCUUUAGAUUGGUUUUGUGGAUUUGUUUCGUAUAAUUGGUAUAUCAGUAGACUUUGAAAUCGUAUUUCGUUUAAUCACUUAGUCAGGAUAAUUGGGAUUAGUUCAAUAAUUUGGUUUAACUUCUUGUUUAAAUGUGUAUAAUAAUCAACUGAUUAGUAUAAGUUUAAUGCAAGUGGUCACUAAUUGAGCAGCUUCUAAUAGUGGUAGGGUAGAAAUUGCAUUACUGAAUUAACUAAAAGCACUAAAUUGAGUGGAUAAUUUAAAAUAAAAAAGAUAAGUUGUAGUGGAAAAUGCACUAAUUAGAUGCCCAUUUAAAGGGGCUAAAAAUCAAAAGAAGCUAGAGAGAAUACAGAAGAUAUCCAAUAGAGCUUGAGAGAGAUCCAUAGAGUCAAAAGAAAAACAUACAGAAAAAUAGACUGAGUUCAUAGAGAGAUAUAGAGUAAAAGAAGGACAAGAGAGAUUAUGAAAUACUGGAAAUGAAGAAGAACACUUUCUGAAAAUACUAAAAGAAAUACUGAAGAUAUUUUGAGAGAGUUAAAAUUUCCCGGAAAAAUACAGUAUACUACAAAGGAACUACUAUUCCAUUGAUCUUCCUUUGAAUCAGGAGGUUUUUGGCAUUUCGAAACAGUUUCUGAUUUCUCUUUGGUAUCAAAGAAAUGGUUUAAAACUGGUUUUUGAAAGUUCUGGGUUGAGUUCUGUUGGCUGGUUACUAUUCUAUUGGAUUUCACAAAUCGAUUUCAUUGUUCAACUGGUUGAAUCUGGGCUUUACUGCUCCUGCUGCCUGUUUUUUUUCUUGCUGAAUCAAUUCUGCUGCUGCUUACUGAUACAUCACUUCUUCUUGCUUUCCCUUUAUUCCCAGGUACCUUCUUAGCCCAUGAAUAAUGAGUGAUUGUUGAACAUGUAAAUCAGUUGGAAUACUGAUUGAAUACAGGCUGCAUUUGAACUUAGUUUCCCCUAUUUCUCAUACUGCUUUACUAUUCUGUAAUAGAUAUGUAGUUUUAGAUGUUAUCUAAGCUAUCAUUUGCGCAUUUAAUGCUGUGUAUGUUCAGUAGUUAUAUGUAUGGGUUAUCGGAC